CUUAAGGCUUCUCUUUCUCGUUGUUUUUCUUUUUUUGGAAACGAAUUAUUCGCUUUGGAUUCUGAAUUGCUCUGUCUUCUAGGGUUCGAUUUUUUUUUUUAAAAAAAAAAAAUCAGAUUGUAGAAUUAGGGAAGAGACUUUCUUAAAUUACUUAACAAUAAAUUUCACACUGGCGUGCUUGUUUCUUUGUUUAUUUACUUACACACGUUUCUUCGUUUGUCUUCUUCGCAGGUGUUUUUUGUUUGGAAGCGUAUGAUUUAUGAUCCAGUUAAUGGCCUUUCGACUCUGAAAUCUCAACUUGUAAUUCUAGGGAUUGUGGUGGAGGGUGACACUCUAUGAUCGAUUGGUGAUUGAGGAAAAAGGGAGGCUACUAAAAUCUAUCGGUGAUGCUUCUGUCAAUAAUGUCACAACAAUGGUUCUGCCGGAGGGUUUUGGAAUUACUCCUCAACAUCUUGUCAUAAUGUCAAACGAUCAUAGCAGUGGCUCCCUGCACCGAUAUGGAGUCGAUAACCUCAAGGAUUCUCAUAUUUGCUCAAGACUACCAGAGAAAGGUAUCACUGGACAUAAAUGAUCACUUUCUAAAAGCGCAAUCCAGAUUGUGGAGGAUAAUACUAUGAUCAAUUGGUGAUUGAGGAGGAGGCUACUAAGAUAUUCCUGUGAUGGUAUUCUUUUGGAGUUACUCCUCAACAGCUUGUCAAAGGAUCACAACAAUGCUUCUAUCAGGAGUUAAAAAAACCAACAAGCAGCAAUAUGGGCGGGCUUCUGUCAGUGACUACAAACAGCCUCUCAAAACUUGAAUGAUAAAAAGAGAAACAUACAUCUGGAGGUAUAGAUUUGCACCACUGUAAUUUAUGGAUGUUGUCAAAGGAUCACAACAAUUUUUCCCUCAGCAAUAUGGAUGGGCCUCAAGGAUUGUCAUAUUUGCUCAGGACUACCAGAAAAAGGCAUUGGUGGAGAUGAUGAUGAUGACUUGCUAAAGCGCAAGACCAUUUAUGGUUUCUGGUGUUUUUGGAAGCGUGUUAUAAUCCAAUUGUAGAGGAGGAUACUAUGAUCGAUUGGUGAUUGAGGAAGAGGCUGCUAAAAUCUGAGCUGGUGAAAAACCAACAGCUUGGCAUAAUGUGAAAGGAUCGCAACAAUUGUUCCCUGCAGCAAUAUGGAGGGGAUUGUCAAAUACGCUCUAGACUAGCUUGUCAUAAUGUCACAACAAUGGUUCCCUGCAGCAAUAUGGAGGGAUUGUGGAGGAUAACACUAUGAUCGAUUGGUGAUUGAGGAGGAGGCUACUAAAAUCUGAGGUGGUGCAAAAACCAACAACAUGUCAUAAUGUGAAAGGAUCACAACAAUUGUUCCCUGCAGCAGUAUGGAGGAGCUUCAAGGAUUGUCAAGUACGCUGUAGACUAGCUUCUCAAUGUCACAACAAUGGUUCCCUGCAGCAAUAUGGAGGGAUUGUGGAAGAGGAGGAGGAUACUAUGAUCGAUUGGUGAUUGAAGAAGAGGCUGCUAAAAUCUGUCACUGAUGGUGGUGGUGCCAAAACCAACAAUUGUUCCCUGCAGCAAUAAGGAGGGGCCUCAAGGAUUGUCAAAUACGCUCUAGACUAGCUUGUCAUAAUGUCUCAACAAUUGUUCCCUGCAGCAAUACAGAGAAAUUGUGGAGGAUAGUGCUAUGAUUGAUUGGUGAUUGAGGAGGAGGCUGCUAAAAUCUGUCGGUGAUGGUUUGAAGAGUAUAUUAUUUAAUCAUUACAACUGUUGAUGCUAGUAAGGUAAAAUGUCUUGGGUGGACCAGAACGUGAUGGAAGUGUUACAAUAGUUGAUGCAGUUUCACCUCCUAGAGGAGACUUUUCAGAUCCUGUCACCUCUGCAACCCUUUUAGUAUUGUGCAGGUCUUCUGGGGUUUGGACAAAAAGCUAUCCCAGAAAAAACAUUUUCCCUCUAUUAAUUGGUUGAUUUCCUACUCAAAAGUAUUCAACGGCAUUGGGAUCUUUCUGUGAGAGUUGUUGCAGAGGGAAGACGAUCUUAAUGAAAUUGUCCAGGAAAUGAUGUGCUAGCAGAAGGUGACAAAAUCAUCUUCGAAACAGAUUGUGGAGGAUACUUUGCUCGGUCGGUGAUGGUUCUGAUGGACUGUUGUCUUCUCUGCGCUAUAUCUUCAGACCGUCCAGGCUAUGGGAUUAAUGUGUGGGAGGGUUCGAAGAGAGAAACAUCAGGUUAACAGUAAUGUCCCUGAUCUUCCUAGUGAGCUAGCAUCUACGUUUCAAGCCUAAUACCCUGUUGUUUGUUAUAUUCAAGGUUCUACAAGAGAUAAGCAUCAGAUUCUAUUGCCUGGAUAGGUUUUGGUAAUUAUUUUUCCGCCCAAGAGGAGGGUGACCAAGCCAUGGCUGCCUAUCUCGCUCCCGCUAGGCUAUUGUCAGGGUUGAAUCUUGAUAUUAUCUUGUUCUAGGUGUCAUUUGCCAACUUUUUACACUGGAAUGGAGUAUAUGCGAACUCACAGCUACAAGCUGGCCGAACAGGUUUUGGAUGAAUCAGUGAUGGCUUUGAUGAAGACUCUUCUCCUUGGCUACAUCUUCAGCUAGUGUUCUUCCGCUUCUACUUGCUUGUUUUUCUUUGCUAGGGUUUUGGAUGAUGCCUUUUAUCGAUCAGUUAUGGCUCUAAAUGAACACUCCUUUUCUCUGUGCUAACAUCUUCUCCAUGAUACGUCUUCAGGCCACAGGUUUUGGAUGAUGCUUUUACCAGUCAGUGAUCAUCCUCCGGCGUUCUCAUGGGUUCCUUGCUGGUUUGGAUGAUGCUUUUAUCACUCAGUGAUGGCUUUCACUGAUCGUCCUCAAGCGUUCUCAUGGGUUAAACUAUGGCUUGGAGACAACGCAGCAGAUCACUACUACUAUGUUCGCUCUCCGUUCCUAUUUUGCAGAAUGCCAACUGUUACUAAGAUCCCAAAUCAUGAGAGGCUAUAAAGAUUUCUCUUGAGCUCCAGAAGCUUCUUAUCGACAACAGUCUUCCUAAUAUGUCACCGUCUCAUUUUGGCAACCAAUUAUUUGUUUUAAGCUUGCUUAUGAACCGACGUGGUUAUAUAUGGGGAAGAGUACAUUAUAGCUUGACGUGGUUAUAUAUGGGAAAGAUAUGUCCAAACAUGUCGAGGUCCCUUUCGACUUUGGACUUGCUCCCCUUACAUGAG